UACGGGGGGGCAAGCGGUUGUUCGGAAUUACUGGGCGUAAAGGGCUUGUAGGCGGCCAACUAAGUCAGACGUGAAAUCCCUCGGCUUAACCGGGGAACUGCGUCUGAUACUGGAUGGCUUGAGUUUGGGAGAGGGAUGCGGAAUUCCAGGUGUAGCGGUGAAAUGCGUAGGAUAAUCUGGAGGAACACCGGUGGCGAAGGCGGCAU
rnacentral:rRNA from 1 species